rnacentral:lncRNA from 1 species
GUUUUGGGCUAGAAGAGUAAGGGAUGGCUCCUUCCUACACAGCAGAGGUGUCAAAAACUGGCCAAGAAAGGGAUGUGCAAAACUGGAAAUAAAAGAUCUCCUGUGGAAGGGGAAAUAGGUCCCACUAACUCUUGUGCCAGUGCUUCGUGAAGGGAAAAGAAAGAUGGAAGUGGAGAAGAGAAUGGAAAAGAAGGAAAAGGCAAAGGGCAGCCUGGCACAGAAGGACCUGGAGGAUAUUUUCUUUCCGGAGCCACUUUCUCCAGAUGCAAAGUUUGGAUGUUUGAUGCUUCCCAAAGCCAGCCAUGAGUGAGAGAUCAGAGCACCAGGACCUCUCCCUGUCUCCAACAGCCCUCCCCUGCUCCAUGUUUUCAGUUUGAAACAGCAUCACCCAGCUCCUAAAUCCAGCAGCACCAGGGAAGCAGAGAACUGGAAGCAGAGCCAGCAUCAAGAUCCAAAUAUCAGAGCUAGGUUUUAUCUUCCUGGUAAACCAAACUGGAAUGCUCAGACCUCAGCCUGAGCUGCCUCU